rnacentral:tRNA from 1 species
AGAAUAAAAGCUUUAUAAAGCAACUAACUGUUAAUUAGUAGACCACGGCCUAUGCCCCGUUUAUUCU